CCGGAUCUCAGAUCAAGUAAGA
rnacentral:rRNA from 2 species